GACGAACGCUGGCGGCGUGCUUAACACAUGCAAGUCGAACGAAGAGCGACGGAAGCUUGCUUCUAUCAAUCUUAGUGGCGAACGGGUGAGUAACGCGUAAUCAACCUGCCCUUCAGAGGGGGACAACAGUUGGAAACGACUGCUAAUACCGCAUACGAUCUAACCUCGGCAUCGAGGAUAGAUGAAAGGUGGCCUCUACAUGUAAGCUAUCACUGAAGGAGGGGAUUGCGUCUGAUUAGCUAGUUGGAGGGGUAACGGCCCACCAAGGCGAUGAUCAGUAGCCGGUCUGAGAGGAUGAACGGCCACAUUGGGACUGAGACACGGCCCAGACUCCUACGGGAGGCAGCAGUGGGGAAUCUUCCGAAAUGGACGAAAGUCUGACGGAGCAACGCCGCGGGAGGGAUGACGGCCUUCGGGUUGUAAAGCUCUGUUAAUCGGGACGAAAGGCCUUCUUGCGAAUAGUGAGAAGGAUUGACGGUACCGGAAUAGAAAGCCACGGCUAACUACGUG
rnacentral:rRNA from 1 species